AGCAGCCGCGGUAAUUCCAGCUCCAAUAGCGUAUAUUAAAGUUGUUGCAGUUAGAAAGCUCGUAGUUGAAUUUUGGGUCUGGCCGGGCGGUCCGCCCUCUGGGUGAGCACUGUUCCGACGUCGGGCCUAUCCUUCUGGUGAGUCGGCAUGUCCUUUAUUGGGUGUGUCGGGGAACCAGGAACCAUUACCUUGAAAAAAAUUAGAGUGUUCAAAGCAGGCGUAUGCUCGGAUACAUUAGCAUGGAAUAAUGAAAAUAGGACGCGUGGUGCUAUUUUGUUGGUUUCUAGAACCGCCGUAAUGAUUAAUAGGGAUAGUUGGGGGCAUUAGUAUUCAAUUGUCAGAGGUGAAAUUCUUGGAUUUAUUGAAGACUAACUUCUGCGAAAGCAUUUGCCAAGGAUGUUUUCAUUAAUCAAGAACGAAAGUUAGGGGAUCGAAGACGAUCAGAUACCGUCGUAGUCUUAACCAUAAACUAUGCCGACUAGGAAUCGGGCGAUGUUAUUCUC
rnacentral:rRNA from 1 species